GAGCGGCGGCAGCGAGCGGUCCGUCUCGCACGCGCGGGCACCGCGCUGGUCCUGGGCUGCAGGUUUCCCAGAUGAUGGCAUCCGAGAACUUAAACAAAGGGGGCUGCCGCCGGCGCGCAACGGCUGCGGAAAGUUGCGGUGGCGGAUUUCCAAGGAGCGUGGCCACGACCAGAGCUCUUGGCGAUGCGAGCCCCCGCUUCCCACCCCCGCCGAUCAGAGAAGGGGGCCGGCUGG
rnacentral:lncRNA from 10 species